CAACCAGAAAAAAUCAAAGAUGUUCUUGUUUGUCUUUAUUCAUGGAAACAAUAUAUUGUUUUUUUCUGCAGAGAGGAAGGGACAGAUAGAGAAUAUGGGUUCCAAUAGAAUGUACAUAUAUAUGUUUUAAAUCUUUAUAAUUCUUAGCAACCACAGCAACCAUUUUCUAUAGCAGUCAUUGACAUUCAUUCUGUGUGUCAUGUUGUCUGCCAAGCACUGAUGCAUAGACUGAGAGAGAGAGAGAGAUAGACUGAAUGGAGGGAGGACGAGAGAGACUGAAUGCAGAGAUAAAUCAAGGAAGAGAGAGAGAGAGAUAGACUGAAUGAAGAGAUGGCAAGAGAGAAAGAGACUGAAUGCAGAGAGGAUGAGAGAGAAUGAAUGCAGAGAGAGCAAGGGAGAGAGAGGUAUCGACUGAAUGCAGAGCGAGAGCAAGACAGAGAAAUAGACUCAAUGCAGAUAUCGACAUAGAGAGGGCCUGAAUGCCAAUAGAGGGACAGACUGAAUACAAAAAGAUAUAUAUAGAGAGAGAGAGAGAGCGAGAGCGAGAGAGAGAGACUGAAUGCAAAGAGAGACAGGGCCUAAAUGCAGAAAGAGACAAACGGAAAGAUGGAGAGAAUUAGGGAACAGGUAAAGCGAAAGGAUAAGAGAAAUAUAGGGGUGGCAAAGGGAAGAAUGUGAUGCAAGCCAAAAGGAGGUAGAGAAAUAGAGGGAGAGAGUGUGCUACAGGCAAUUGAGAAGCAGACAGGAAGAGGAAGGGUGGAGGAAAGGGGGAGGGAGAGAGCAGAUCAAAGUGAAAGAGAUAGAGGAGGAAAGGAGUGCAAGAAAAGAUAGUAGAGGAGGAGACAAGGUUACUUAAAAGAGAUGAGAAAGAGAGUGACAUAGGGAGGGAGGGAUGUUAGGAGCCUGAGGGAGGGAGGGGUUGAAAGAGGGAAAAUAAAGAAGAGAGAGAGAGAGAGAGAGAGAGAGAGAGAGAGAGAGAGAGAGAGAGAGAGAGAGAGAGAGAAAAACAAGUAAUGGAAAGAAUAACAGCAUGAAAGGGACAGCAAGAAAGUGAAAGGCGAAAGGAUGACAGUUUUGAUUUAAAAAAGAGUGAAUGCAAGUAAACAAUAAAAGCAGAGGGAACAAAAAGGAAAAAAUAGAAUAAGGGGAGAAAGAAAUAUAGAAGAGGAAUUAAAGAGCUAAGACAGGGAGGGAGGGAAAAGAUAGAUAGAGAUAGAAAAUACUCUUGAUAAAGGAGGCCAGUGUUUUUUCCUUUUUUUCCUUAUUUAAACCAUCACCCAGAGAUACCAAGCUGAAACCAUGUGGUCAGAAGCCCCGACCAUAAGUUACCGGCAGGUUCCGGAACUCAGAGCUCAGCGAAUGUUCCGGAACCCCUACCUCGCUCUGGGAAAACAAAGUUGUGCAUGUGAUGACUGUUUGUUACACACUGCCCCUGCAGAUGGAUGUCCUCUUUAGACACACACACAUACACACAACCAGACACACACACACACACACACACACACGUGCACACACACGUGCACACACAUCUGCAUGCGCGGCAGGUCCCCUCUGGUCGAGGCUGGCUCCGUCAUGAGAGACCUGGUGACAUUUUAAAACCCUGUUUAGAGGAUCCAGGAAUCUGUCUCACUGUCUCUCUGGACAUACUACUAGAGACUCCACAGACCUGGUCCACACACACACACACACACACACACACAUACACACACACACAUGCACAAACACGCACACACUUCUACACCCACACACUCAAACACACUUUUGGGUUUCAUGGUACUCAUGGUUAUUCUGUGUGUGUGUGUGUGUGUGUGUGUGUGUGUGUGUGUGUGUGUGUGUGUGUGUGUGUGUGUGUGUGUGUGUG
ensembl:lncRNA